AAAUAUAUUUAUUGGGUCGGCACACUUGAUUUUAUUUCAUCAGAGAAACAGAUGUAGUAAGCUAAAAAACAAAGUGGAAGUGCCCCAGAUGCAGCUUAAAACUGUCAGUGAGGAAACCAGAAGGGUUAAAAACCCUCUGUGUAGCAUCCAUGGAGUGUCUGCAGUGUCACAAACCUCUGCAUUGCCACCAGAUAAUGACCACCUCAGUGACCCUACAAGAAUUUUAUUCCAUUUUGUGCUGCCACUUCUGAGUUUCUGCUCAAUACUCCUGAGCGUUUCACUGUAACUAGAAAAAGUUCAUUUGUUAAGCCGCUCGAUAAGCUCACAAGUAAAAACCAACACAUUAAUUCACAUCCACAAACAGAGCAAGAUACCACUGCCAAGGCAAAGUCAAAAUGGUUACUGCUGAAUUAGGUACUGGUUUCCAAGCUCAGUACAGGAAGCUCAGCAGCGAGCCCUGGCUAAAGAUUCUCCAGCCCUCUUCUGCUCUCUCACUGAAGACCUGUUGAUAGUGGGGGAAUAGUCAUUUCCUCCAGUCACAAACUAUCCUUCCCGGAUCUAACACGUUCUAAAAGUUGCACACAAACUUUUCAGAACUAAUACGUCAUUCACCAAGAACAGGGAAGACUGAAGUCACAACUGUGAACGCGAUCCCCAGCAGCCCCACAGCCACUGCUCAAACCAACUGAAUCCUGUAACCUUCUGCUUACUGUCAAGAGACCGAUCCAUCAGCCAUCUUAUUCUUUUAAAACUGUUCCUUUUUUUCGGCAGCUCUGAUUGCUGCCCACAUCUCCACAGGCUCCAGAAGACUGAAAGUGACUGGAAUGAGACUCCGGGGGACAGGUAACCAAGUGCUCUCCCAGCAGAACGAUACCAAAAGCUCAGCUGCUUCUCAAGGGGGCAUCUAAAAGCUGAACAUCCCUUUGGUACGCCCUCUGCCCUCCCAAGCACAACCAGACCUAUCUGCAAGGGGUUAGGACACCCAUCGUUUCUCACCUCCACAGCAUCACCAAGGAGCUCUGCAGGGACUGCAGAGAAGCCCCUCCAUCUUCACAACCUGUACGUCUACAGGGCAAUUUCAGACAUUUUGGUCUCACAGCAAAGAAAUGGGAGAUGCAAGAAGAAGUGCACUCCAUAUUGAUUCUUGAUGCAAAGAAGCGGGAAUUCAAGGCACCCGGCUUGGAGAGGAGCUCUGCCGUAGCUACAGUGGGAAAGACAAGAAACGGACUAAAUCUCAUCAGCGACUGCCCAAAAGCACAAUGCAGCAAGCAGCUUCGCUUCCAAAAGAAACAGGAGGGCAGAAACACGCGAACACCCUCCUGCGCCGUGGUGAAGCAAAUAGGUUCGGGGCUGGAAGGGAGGGAAGCAUGGAAAGGCCGAGGGCAGGCCCGAGGCAGAGGGAAGGAAGGGGGGAUUUCGGGCAGGAGAGGGGAGAAAUAGGAGAGAAAAGGGAGAGAAAGGAGGCUGAGGCCCGGGCCCCCGAGACUGACCUGUGCCGUCGCUGGCGGACACGGAGAGCGCCGGCGAGGAGAGUUUAGGCCGCUUGGCUGAAGGCGGGCCCGGCUCCACCACAUUCUCGGCCAUUUUUAAUUCUUUUUUAGACAAUCACUCCGAGCAGAGAGACGGCGGGGGGAGCCCCCAAACCCCCACCUCCUGAGGCCGGGCCCUCGGGGGGCUGCGGAGCGGCGAUGCGGAGGGGCGAGGAGCGGCCGAGUUCCCCUUUUUCCGCCCCUGGGAGGAGCGGGGCGAGGUGGGAGCGGAGGGGCUGAGCGAGGCCUCUGCCCGCGGGCGCGGAGCUGCGCGGGGAUGGCAAAAGCCCCCGCCGAAAAGAAUAAUUAAAAAAAAAAUAAAAUAAUUAAAAAAAAAAAAAAAAAAAAAGAGGCUGGUGGUGUUGGUUGGUUGGGUUUUUUGUUGUUGUUGUUGUUUGGGGUUUUGGUUUUUUGUUUUUUUGUUUUUUUUUCCUUCCAGUGAGAUUAAUCCCGGCUGUUGUGCUGCUGGUGCUUCCUCGCCGCCGCCACCAUCAUCAUCUUCAUCCUCCGGGGGCUCUUCUCCUCCUCCUGCUGCUGCCUCCUCACCGCCGCCAUCAGCCUCUUCCUCCUCGGCGCCGUCCUCCUCCUCCUCAUCGCCACCAGGAGGCGGGCGAAGGAGGAGGGGAGAGAAGAAGGAGGAGGAAAAAAGAAAAAACGACCGCCGUCCUCCUCCUCCCGCAGCAGCAGCAGCAGCGCCUUCCCCCUCCGACACCACCCUGCGAAAAAGAACCCACCGGCAGCGAGCGGGCCGGGGGCAGGCGGGCGGCCGGGCGGCCCCAGCUCCAACGCGCGUCUUCCUCUCGGCCGCUCCGCUUAAUGGCUGCAGCAAAGGGAGCUGGAAGGAGGAUGAGGAUAAGUCCCAGGAGUCUCCGCUUCACAUCUUGUUGUGCAGAAGGAGGAGGGGUUGUUGUCCUGAUGGAGGCAGCGCCGAUCGCGGGAUGGGGAGCCGGGGGGCCGGGUUUCGACACCCUCUCUGUCUUCCCCCCCCUUCUCCUUCCCCUCCUCCGCCCUUUUCUCCUCUUCUUUUUCCCCUUCCUCUUUCUCUCGCUCUCAGUAGCGCGCUGCCCCCCCCUCGGGCGCAGGCAGAGGGGCCGAGCCCACAGCAGCGGCAAGAGGAGGAGGAGGAGGAAGGAGCCGGCCCCUCCCCCGCUCUCUGCCUACCUUCCCCCUCCUCCCGGGCGGCCGAGGAUGGCUGCGGGUGCCGGGGCCGGGCGGGGAGGGGGCUGCCCGGCUCCGCUCCGCCACGGGGACUCCCUCUUCGCGAGGGUGGGGAAAGGAAGCGACGAGGGAUGAAAAGAACACUCCGAGGAAAUGCCACCUCCCUCAACACACAGACGGAGACAAAUGCCUGUUUUGCUUUGUGCUGUAGUCGGUGUCUUUUAGGACAUGGAAGAGAAAGAGGGGAUGAAAAGGAUAUUGAGCAGGCUGUGCUCUGGAGAAAUCCACCCUUAUUGUCCAUCAGCACCCACUUGAGAUGCAGCAGAAGAGAUAAGAACAACCAAAGAAGGCACACAGCCAGAAAGUGACACGUUCUCAAAGGCACCACCGAUGUGCUAAAUGAUCUACAGUCAUCCACCCGUGGCAGAUCAGCUGAAAACACAUGUUCCCAUGAUCAGAAAAUCCAGAUAGGCCGUGGCCACGCAGCUCUGCAGUCCCAUUUGAGUUGUGAUACCUGCACUACUAACACGCUCAUAGUUGUGAACGGGCAAACCCUGUGCUGCUGCAGGUCUGAGGGGGUAAAUCCAGCAGGAGAGCAGGCAGUGAUGUGCCUCCAUGUCCGGAUAGAUCCUUUCCAGAAUCAGCUGUUGUUAAUCGCAUUAAAAUGUUAAAAUGCAUUUGAGGUUUCUUCUCCAAGCCAUACUAUUGCACAUGUGGUUGGAGUUCCACAUCAUAGUGCAGCUGGAGCAGCCCUCGGGACUCCCCCACGUGAGCUACGUGCACAGUGCCACCCAGAGCAGUCACAGACCUAUCCUUUCCCCAGAUUUCUGCAGGAGGUAGUGGAAAGGCCAGAAUUGCCAUCUGCUCUAUUUGGAUAUAAUAGAUUCCUCUUACCUUCACUUUGUGCCACUGCUGAAAACUGUGCAGCCACGUGCUUGGGUCACCACAGAGACCGAGCCUUUGCUGUAGGGGAACCAGCAGCAGAGAUGCUUUGACUGGCAGCAGCUGAAAAGCCGCAAAGCAGAGGGAAAUGCCUGCGCUCAUGGUGUCUGUCCAGCCAGGAGAAUACACUCAGGGCAGUGCUAAAGGCGGACAAACCAGGAUGAUGUGACUGGACCCAAAAUAAAGACCUUGAGGAAGUAAAUUCCCUGAUCAGCGAGCAUCCGGGUUCCAGGUCCUGAGAAACCCAACAAUAAAACAAAACGGCCUGCCAAAAGGAGAGACAUCUGACAAUCAGACAGAUGCACGGGGCAUUCAGAGGGGAGUUCACAUUCUGGGGAAUGGUGUUUAACCUGGCUACGACCAUUUUUAUUCCCUAUCACUCUGCUACAUUAAUGCUUAACAUCAGCUAUCUAACCUCCCGUCCUCAACAAGUAGGAAAGAUGUGUUGAUGGAAAGGUAAUGUCAUGAACAACCAACACAAGAAUGUUACUGGAUCUAUCACUGCUGCCAUGAAGCGCCACAGCCUUUGGUAGCAGGAAGAAUUGCUCUGACCUUGUUCAGGCUCCGGGCAUCUGCCGAGGCUGUCAACACAGGAACCAAAUUUUGAUGCAAUGAAGAUACCAUUCGGCACAGCAGGUACCAAAUGAAAUGUGAUGUAGUUUUCAGAGUAACAACAUCUGGACAGUAAGAACUAUGGGUAGGCUUGAACCAAGAUAAUACCAGCAGAAAGUCAGCGCAGAGUGAAUUUGUUCAUACACUGCUCAUUUUUAGCUCUGCAGUCAAUCUUGCAGGUGAAUUUCCCAAGUGUACUUUCACCUGACACAUGGAAGUGUUUUAUGACCACUGAUAAAAUCUAACAUUUAGUUAAUGUCUGCAAAGCUAAAUGCAUGGAACUGUGAACAGGUAAUGAAAUUUUCCUCCGUAGUAGAGCUGGUUUAGUCAAACCAAAGAGCAGAAGCAAUAGAGUAGUUUCUAAUAAUGAUGCUAACCACUAACCGUACAAAUCAUUAUUUCAACCGAGCUGCAAGAAAGCAUGGCCACAAGAAAUGCUACCUGCAUAAACUACACUUAGCUGGGGCCAUGUCCUUUAUCCACUGCACUCCAUGAAGGAGCUUAACGAUGACCUCAGUGAGCCAGAGGUGUGGUUCCAAGUCAGAUGGGAGUCAGACCAAACCCACAUCCAAAACCUGGGCAUGCUGACAAGAAGAGCUGUCCGGCUCAAGAGCUGCCUGGUUUAAGUAUCCAGUCUACAGACAACUCUUUUCAUUCACCGACUUACCGCUCAUGAAAGAAAGACAAAAACUUAGAUGGGGAGCUCCUGCAAGAUUUUAUUCAACGGUACACAAUAGGGCAAAAUUAAGAUUAAAGCAGAACGUAUACAUUACUGAUUUGUCAAGUUGCUAAGACAAAUCCAUACUGACACAAACAACGGAGGCU